AGUACAUAAACUCGUUGUGCUAAUACAUCCAGUAGCUAUAGUGUGUAAUGAUUUUUUUUAUGAGCGUUCAUAAAAUAUAAAUGUUACAAGUGUGAGAACUCAUCAAGAAUUGCAUAAUUGCAAAAUUAUCGAGAGGUUCAUUUAUGUGAUAUGUUGAAAUUACAGCUGCCUCGUUGUUCUAGUGCCUAGCUUUUAUGUACAAAUCUCGAGUUAAUAAAACUCAUUAUAUUCUGUCAACAAAUUCGCAGUAGCAGCCUAAGUUAGGAAGUUGGUAGUGUAAAACUCUCAACUCGGAAAGUAUAAACGGUAAGCCGUAAGCCGUUGUUCGUGCCCUUGAUCGCUCUCCGGUUAUAUUUAAUCUGCGUUCCAUCGGAUUAUUAAAGUGAGAAAAUAAAGUACACAUAUAUUUAAUAAUAAUAA